rnacentral:SRP_RNA from 1 species
CAUGGGUAAGUCCCAUACGGCCAGCUCCUGGCGAAUCCUCCAGGGCAGGAAUGCAGCAAAGGUAGUUGGUUGUAGCGGCGCGAUAUGGGUAGCUUGCCCACC